rnacentral:tRNA from 1 species
GAAUGUUUGACUUAGUGCUCAGAGUGUUUGGAUAGUUUCCAAGAGGCAUGGAUUCAAAUCCCGCUAUGUUCA